ACCGCUGUCAAGUCUUAGGAGAAAGACACUUCCAGACCGAGACUCUACCCUAGAAGACGAGCUUUCUUCUCUUACGCAAUUGUUGACUACCUAGAAAGAUUUUUCACUUCACACUUUCUAUAUAUCUGUUUUCAUCAAAUCAAAACUUUCAUUUAGCUCUGAGCGAGAGCCAAAAGCAUUCUUUUCUACUCUCUUAUGAAAUUUCACGAAUUGGAGUUAGCGUCACAAAUCGACUGCUAAUCUUUUCUCAAGUCAAGGAAAGCCCCUUGAAUUGGAAUCUUUCA
rnacentral:misc_RNA from 1 species